UGUUAAGUGCUAGACACAGGAAGAAGUUCACUGGCAGCCAUUGAUAAAACUAAAUGUUACCAAAUCCCCUGGCCCAGAUUGCAUUCACUUAAGAGUUCUUAAAGAGCUCAAGCAUGAAGGUGCUGAUCUUCUCACACUUUUAAUAUACAGCUUAUCCCUGAAAUCAGGCUCCAUCCCUGAAGACUGGAAGAUGGCCAAUGUGCACCAAUCUUUAAGAAAGGAUCCUAGGGGGGACCGAGGA